rnacentral:rRNA from 1 species
GACGAACGCUGGCGGCGUGCCUAAUACAUGCAAGUAGAACGCACAGUUUAUACCGUAGCUUGCUACACCAUACACUGUGAGUUGCGAACGGGUGAGUAACGCGUAGGUAACCUGCCUGGUAGCGGGGGAUAACUAUUGGAAACGAUAGCUAAUACCGCAUAAUAUUGAUUAUUGCAUGAUAAUUGAUUGAAAGAUGCUAUUGCAUCACUACCAGAUGGACCUGCGUUGUAUUAGCUAGUAGGUGAGGUAACGGCUCACCUAGGCGACGAUACAUAGCCGACCUGAGAGGGUGAUCGGCCACACUGGGACUGAGACACGGCCCAGACUCCUACGGGAGGCAGCAGUAGGGAAUCUUCGGCAAUGGACGAAAGUCUGACCGAGCAACGCCGCGUGAGUGAAGAAGGUUUUCGGAUCGUAAAGCUCUGUUGUAAGAGAAGAACGGGUGUGAGAGUGAAAAGUUCACACUGUGACGGUAUCUUACCAGAAAGGGACGGCUAACUACGUG